rnacentral:rRNA from 1 species
GAUGAACGCUGGCGGCGUGCCUAAUACAUGCAAGUCGAGCGAACGGACGAGAAGCUUGCUUCUCUGAUGUUAGCGGCGGACGGGUGAGUAACACGUGGAUAACCUACCUAUAAGACUGGGAUAACUUCGGGAAACCGGAGCUAAUACCGGAUAAUAUUUUGAACCGCAUGGUUCAAAAGUGAAAGACGGUCUUGCUGUCACUUAUAGAUGGAUCCGCGCUGCAUUAGCUAGUUGGUAAGGUAACGGCUUACCAAGGCAACGAUGCAUAGCCGACCUGAGAGGGUGAUCGGCCACACUGGAAAUGAAACACGGUCCAGACUCCUACGGGAGGCAGCAGUAGGGAAUCUUCCGCAAUGGGCGAAAGCAUGACGGAGAAACGCCGCGUGAGUGAUGAAGGUCUUCGGAUCGUAAAACUCUGUUAUUAGGGAAGAACAUAUGUGUAAGUAACUGUGCACAUCUUGACGGUACCUAAUCAGAAAGCCACGGCUAGCUACGUG